CCCCGGUAAACGGCGGCCGUAACUAUAACGGUCCUAAGGUAGCGAAAUUCCUUGUCGGGUAAGUUCCGACCUGCACGAAUGGCGUAAUGAUGGCCAGGCUGUCUCCACCCGAGACUCAGUGAAAUUGAACUCGCUGUGAAGAUGCAGUGUACCCGCGGCAAGACGGAAAGACCCCGUGAACCUUUACUAUAGCUUGACACUGAACAUUGAGCCUUGAUGUGUAGGAUAGGUGGGAGGCUUUGAAGUGUGGACGCCAGUCUGCAUGGAGCCGACCUUGAAAUACCACCCUUUAAUGUUUGAUGUUCUAACGUGGACCCGUAAUCCGGGUUGCGGACAGUGUCUGGUGGGUAGUUUGACUGGGGCGGUCUCCUCCUAAAGAGUAACGGAGGAGCACGAAGGUUGGCUAAUCCUGGUCGGACAUCAGGAGGUUAGUGCAAUGGCAUAAGCCAGCUUGACUGCGAGCGUGACGGCGCGAGCAGGUGCGAAAGCAGGUCAUAGUGAUCCGGUGGUUCUGAAUGGAAGGGCCAUCGCUCAACGGAUAAAAGGUACUCCGGGGAUAACAGGCUGAUACCGCCCAAGAGUUCAUAUCGACGGCGGUGUUUGGCACCUCGAUGUCGGCUCAUCACAUCCUGGGGCUGAAGUAGGUCCCAAGGGUAUGGCUGUUCGCCAUUUAAAGUGGUACGCGAGCUGGGUUUAGAACGUCGUGAGACAGUUCGGUCCCUAUCUGCCGUGGGCG
rnacentral:rRNA from 1 species